GUAAUGAUGAGCCUAGUGGACAUGGCAUCUGCCCGGUAAGCGGCACACUGUGGGUUCGAUUCCCAUCCCUGGACACUUAUA
rnacentral:tRNA from 1 species